CUGUAUGACUUGAAAGUUGAAAGUUGAAACCUUGUCAACAAGGAUGAUCUUCCUGUUCAUCUUCAAAACUUUCUCAAAGUGAGGGAACGAUAGUGCUAACAUGCUGCUCAGCGGAAUUUUCACUCCGACCUCCUUUACAAGUGCAAAACGUGGUCUGAUUCUCUGUUCCAAACUGUAACUAAAAUACUGACGGAACUUAACCAGCUCAGAUUUUGAAUAACCCAUUGUUAAAUAGAAUUUCCAUUUCGGUAUCAAGUUCUCCGUCAAGCUAGGUUUUUAUUUUAGGUUUCAGUUUGGGUUCUUGAAGAUGGCAAUGAAGACCCUUUCUGGAAGCCGCUCUUCUGACCCGUCAUCUCUCUGCAGAGGAGCUUUCUACAUCACUAGGACUUGACUUACUUCUCCUGAGGAAUUCUUCUCUUGCCGAGGAAUAAGUUUUUCUAGUAGUAUCUCGACCUUCUUACAAAAGCUAAAUUACAGAUAUUAACAUGUUUCUUUCCUCUUUGUGGUAUUAACUUGAUGGUGUUUUGAUAUAAGAACAGCUGAUUCUCGUGCAAAUGAAUCAUUCAACUCAAGAGUGCAUCCUCCAACGCUGUUAGUAGCUGAGAAAAAAGAAGCCAAGUCUGUUUUAAGCUUGUUCUUGAUGCAGCAAGGUCUGAGCAAGGCAGCUGCCGCAAGAACCAUCAAUAAAUCAGAUCAUUUCAUCGACCACCUUAUCUCAAGGCUUCACUCUGCUCAUAAAUCUCGGUAUCUUGUAGGAAGAGAGCUCACGACUUUUGAGAUUAGGGACACCCUUAAUCCUUAUCUUCAAUCACUUCUUGAAGGGCAUGGAAAUUUUAUGGUAGAUUUAGUGAACAACUUUCCUACCACACCUAUCGAAGAAAAGCCAGCUGUGCUAGUUUGUAGAUCCCAUUCCAGCCUUGAUCCAAGAAGCCAGAAGCAUUCUCUCAUGUAAGCGCCCCAAGUCCAAUAGCAGAUCUAUGCCGUCAACUGUGCUACCUCUUAGAGCUUGGCAUGGAUCUUGAGCAGAUCAAGUAGCCACACACAGAUAUCCUAAUUUUGCCUACUGCAGCUUGGAGGGCAAAAUCAAACCACUAGUUGAGUUUCUUCUUGAUCUUGGGGUACCUAAAUCAGACACUCCUACUAUUAUCAGAAAAAUGCCUUCUUUAUGUGGACAUAGUCCAUCUAAAAAAAUAAAACCCAGCAUAAUAUACUUUGAAGAUUUGUGUGUGGGCAAAAGUCAUAUGUCGCUGCCCUGGACUCCUCUGUCAUAGUAGGCAGAAAAGGUUCAGGCAGUAGUUAAUUGCCUUCAUGAGUUGAGCUUAUCAGGUGAUAGCAUAGGUAAGGUCUUCACUCGGUUCCCAAGAAUUGUAACUUGCAGUGUGGAAGACUAUCUCAAGCCUUUGAACUAUUUUUUCUAUGAAUGGGGAUUCAGUGUGGAAGAAGUGAGGUCCAUGGUGUCAACAUUUCCAUCUGUAUAUUCUUACAUCUUGAUACCGAAAUGGGAGUUCUUUUUGACCAUGGGUUAUUCAAAGUUGACAUUGUUAAAGUUCCCUCAGUAUUUUAGUUACAGUUUGGAACAGAGAAUCAGACCACAUUUUGCACUCGUCAAGGAGUUAGGAGUGAAAAUCGGGGUGGAUGGCAUGUUAGUACGAUCACACUGUGACUUUGAGAAAGUUUUGAAGAUGAAUAGGAAGAACAUCCUUGUUGACAAGUGGUCUCUAAAAUUUUAAUUUAUUUAAAAAAUACCCCAAAAAUUACAAUUAGUCUCUAAAAUUUU